ACGGCUUAGCGGAACCUUUGUUGUUGUUGCUUGUUGUUUUUCUGGAAGGCACGCGCCUUUUUUCGUCUUUUCACUUGCGUUUACUUUAGUGAAGGAGUUAGAAGUUGAAGCAAAAAUACCAGCAAUUUACUAAAUUAAAUUAAAUUAGUGCCUUAAAAGUGAAAAAGAAACGAUUCCCAGACAAGGCUGAAGGUAAAUCUAUAAACAAAUGGAAGGCUAAAUCGUUCCAUCUUAAGCAUAUUAUCCGAGGAACUUGUUCUGUCCCACAACUUACUUAUUAAAUGCAAUCGCCCUGGUCGAUCCCUCGGAGCCUCCCGAAAAGGCGC